rnacentral:rRNA from 1 species
AGAGCGAACGCUGGCGGCGUGCUUAACACAUGCAAGUCGAACGCGCAGCAUUCUGUAGCAAUACAGGGUGUGGGCGCGUGGCGAACGGGUGCGUAACACGUGGAUAACCUUCCUUCAGGUGGGGAAUAACCCAGUGAAAAUUGGGCUAAUACCGCAUAACAAAACGAUGAGACAUCUUGUUGUUUUCAAAGGCGCAAGUCGCCAGAAGAGGGAUCCGCGGCCGAUUAGCUUGUUGGCGAGGUAAUGGCUCACCAAGGCAAUGAUCGGUAGCCGGACUGAGAGGUUGGCCGGCCACACUGGAACUGAGACACGGUCCAGACUCCUACGGGAGGCAGCAGUGGGGAAUCUUGCACAAUGGGCGAAAGCCUGAUGCAGCAACGCCGCGUGGGGGAUGAAGCUUCUCGGAGUGUAACCCCUUCGACCCGGAGAACGCCCGCAAGGGUUUGACGGUACGGGUAUAAGAAGCCCGGCUAACUACGUGCCAGCAGCCGCGGUAA